CGUUACUAUUAUUUUAUUUUUAUCAUUAUUUUCUUUUUUAUCAAAAUUCAGCAAUGGUGAAUGGAGGAGAUAAGCUGAUCUUCGUCUAUGGCACUCUCAAGCGGGGCUUCUACAACCACUCGCUGCUCGAAGACCUUAUCCGGACGGGCGCCGCCGCCUACGUCGGCUCCUGCACCACCGUCGAAGCUUUUCCACUGGUCUGCGGGCCCCACGGCAUCCCCUAUUUAGUCAAUCUGCCCGGGUCGGGUCUCCGGGUCCGGGGCGAGCUCUACUCCGUGCCUUCGGUCCACGGGCUAGCCCGCCUCGAUGAGCUUGAAGGCGUGGAGCGGGGCCAUUACGAGAGACUGCCGGUGGCUGUAGCUGUUGCUGAAGGAGAAGAAUUGAAGGAUGCGGAGGCGUAUUUUGCGCAUAAGGAAUUUGGGCAAAAGCUGUGGAAGAGGUGUGGAGAGGUUGGAUUGAGUGAGUACGGUGUGGAUUUGGGGAAAAAGUAUGUGAGGAGGAAGGAUCGGCCGAUUCAUCAUUCAUUAAUUGAUGAUAUUCACAAAUUCAUUUUGGAGGGCACUUCAUCUCCUUCUUCAUGAAUUAGUGAGAGGCUGUAGCCCGUGAGUUUCAUUGCGACGUACAAAAAAGUCCCAUGCAAAUCCAAUGGAAAUCAAACUUCACUUGCGCUUUGAUGGAAAAUUCCAGCUCUGAAAGAAUGGAGAUCGAUCAACUCCUGUUCAGCCCAGCCCAUUGAAAAGAUUGAACUCGUGCAGCCAUCAAGGCCUAUGUGACUCACAUGCUUCACAUCUGUUGGUAAUCCA